UAGUUUGCUUCAGUUUCCGGACGAAGCUCAAGCUGAGAGUAGGCUCUAGGAGAACAGGAAUCUCCUGAAAUACAAAUAAAAAAAAAACCUAAAUCCUUCGGAACACCAUGUGCUGCGAAAGUCGCUACUAUCGGGAAACACCCUGUGUCCAGUGCUGCCUAGUCGACUGCAGCUAUAGCUGCUACCGUACCAGCUGCGCGGGACCCUGCGGGCCGUGUGCUACCGCGGCGCCGUGCUGCUGCGGAGCUGUCGGCGAUUUGAACUACAAAUAUUCGUUCUUCGGACUGCAUUUGCUGUAAUGAACUACGAAUGGAACAGAAGAACGGGAGAAAUAGAAUCUGGCAGCACCUGGUGCUUUGUCCUUAACACCUAAAUGAAGGUCCAUAGAUCCUGCAGACCAGACUAAAUUAAGUUGUCUUAAAUAAAUUAAUUCAAAGAG